rnacentral:rRNA from 1 species
UACGAAUUGGGCUAGCGUUGUUCGGAAUCACUGGGCGUAAAGGGCGCGUAGGCGGCUUUGUAAGUCGGGGUGAAAGCCUGUGGCUCAACCACAGAAUUGCCUUCGAUACUGCAUGGCUUGAGACCGGAAGAGGUAAGUGGAACUGCGAGUGUAGAGGUGAAAUUCGUAGAUAUUCGCAAGAACACCAGUGGCGAAGGCGGCUUACUGGUCCGGAUCUGACGCUGAGGCGCGAAAGCGUGGGGAGCAAACAGGAUUAGAUACCCCCGUAGUCC